rnacentral:rRNA from 1 species
CUCGUAGGCGGUUCAGCAAGUCGGCUGUGAAAUUCCGAGGCUCAACCUCGGAACUGCAGUCGAUACUGCUGUGACUCGAGUCCGGUAGAGGAGAAUGGAAUUCCCGGUGUAGCGGUGAAAUGCGCAGAUAUCGGGAGGAACACCAGUAGCGAAGGCGGUUCUCUGGGCCGGUACUGACGCUGAGGAGCGAAAGCGUGGGAGUAAACA